UACAGAGGGUGCGAGCGUUAAUCGGAAUUACUGGGCGUAAAGCGCGCGUAGGCGGCUUUGCAAGUCGGGUGUGAAAUCCCCAGGCUUAACCUGGGAACUGCAUUCGAGACUGCAUUGCUAGAGUAUGGGAGAGGGAAGUGGAAUUUCCGGUGUAGCGGUGAAAUGCGUAGAUAUCGGGAGGAACACCUGUGGCGAAAGCGGCUCACUGGACCACAACUGACGCUGAGGCGCGAAAGCUAGGGGAGCAAACAGG
rnacentral:rRNA from 1 species